rnacentral:ncRNA from 1 species
CAUAUGCAGAUCGGGAGCCUGUGGAAGCAAGCUGAGAGUACGACUAAGCCGUCGUAGACCGUUUGAACCUGUUGGAUAAUGCCAGCGUAGGAAGUGACAAAGUGUAACGU